rnacentral:lncRNA from 1 species
UUGAUCAUCAACAGCUUCUUCACAUUCUCCGUAACUUUGGUCUACGGGAUACUGCUCUCUCCUGGUGCUCCUCCUACCUCUCCCAGCGCUCUUUCAGUGUUUCUUUCUCUGGCUCUGCUUCUUCUCCCCAACCCCUCUGUCCCCAUCCCCCAAGGUUUUGUCCUCGGCCCCCUACUGUUCUCUAUCUAUGCUGCCUCCAUUGGUAAACUCAUCAGCUCCUUUGGCUUCCAAUACCAUUUAUAUGCAGAUGACACGCAAAUCUACCUGUCCUACCCUGAUCUCUCUCUGCCCACCUUGACUCGUGUUUCUG